rnacentral:misc_RNA from 1 species
GGAAUCACGAUUUUCUCUGGGAGUCCAUCAAACCUGGGGGAGGAGGGAAGCCAUCAGGGGAACUCCUAGAACUGAUUGAGAGAGACUUUGGUUCUUUUGAAAAGUUUUUGGAAGAAUUCAAGUCUGCUGCUACAACACAGUUUGGUUCUGGUUGGGCUUGGCUUGCAUAUAAGGAUAACACGGUUGACCAUCCACGUCCAUCAGAGAAGGACAAAAAGCUUGUUAUUCUAAAGAGUCCUAAUGCCGUUAACCCACUUGUUUGGGACUAUGCUCCACUUCUUACUAUCGACGUUUGGGAGCAUGCUUAUUACCUAGACUUCCAGAA